GACGAACGCUGGCGGCGUGCUUAACACAUGCAAGUCGAACGAGUGGCGAACGGGUGAGUAACACGUGGGUGAUCUGCCUUGCACUUCGGGAUAAGCCUGGGAAACUGGGUCAAAUACCGGAUAGUGCAAGAUGAGCUCGCGGCCUAUCAGCUUGUUGGUGGGGUAAUGGUUACCAAGGCGCGAAGGGUAGCCGGCCUGAGAGGGUGUACGGCCACAUUGGUCCUGGGGUACGGACCAGACGGCUACAGGGGGCAGUGGUGGGGAGUAUUGCGCAAUGAGCGGGCGCCUAAUGAAGAGGCGCCGCGUUGGUGAUGAAGGCCUUCGCGUUGUAAACGCCUUGCGGCUGGGACGCGGUACCUGUAUAAGAAGCACCGGCUAACUACGUGCCAGCAGCCGCGGUAAUAC
rnacentral:rRNA from 1 species